GAUGAACGCUGGCGGCGUGCCUAAUACAUGCCAGUCGAGCGACCAGACGAGGAGCUUGCUCCUCUGACGUUAGCGGCGGACGGGUGAGUAACACGUGGAUAACCUACCUCUAUGACUGGGAUAACUUCGGGAAACAGGUGAUAAUAACGGAUCAUAUAUUGUACCGCAUGGUUCAAUAGAGCAAGACGGUUUUGCCGUCUCUUAUAGAUGGUUCCGCGCCGCAUUAGCUAGUUGGUAAGGUAACGGCUUACCAAGGCAACGAUGCGUAGCUGACCUGAGAGGAUGAUCGGCCACACUGGAACUGAGACACGGUCCAGACUCCUACGGGAGGCAGCAGUAGGGAAUCUUGCGCAAUGGGCGAAAGCCUGACGGAGCAACGCCGCGUGAGUGAUGAAGGUCUUCGGAUCGUAAAACUCUGUUAUUAGGGAAGAACAAAUGUGGAAGUAACUAUGCACGUCUUGACGGUACCUAAACAGAAAGCCACGGCUAACUACGUG
rnacentral:rRNA from 1 species